GCGCUUGUAGCUCAGCUGGAUAGAGCAACCGCCUCCUAAGCGGUAGGUCCCGGGUUCGAAUCCCGGCUCGCGCA
rnacentral:tRNA from 1 species